UUUUUUGGUGCGAUAGACACAUCAGCUAACGCCCUCGAAUUCACCUUGGCUGAGCUCAUGAGGAAGCCACACCUGAUGGUGAAGCUACAAGAUGAGCUCAUGAGGAAGCCACACCUGAUGGUGAAGCUACAAGAUGAGGUGAGGGGUAUUAUUGUACCCCAAGGACAAGAAAUUAUCAGUGAAACCGACAUGAACAACAUGACGUACCUAAGAGCAGUCAUAAAAGAGUCGCUCCGGCUACAUCCUCUUGCUCCUCUCCUUGCUCCGCACCUUGCCAUGGCUGACUGCAUCACCGAUGGAUACAUAGUUCCUGCUAGGACACGUGUGGUCGUCAAUGCAUGGGCCAUUGGUAGGGAUCCGAGCUCGUGGGAGUAUGUAGAAGAGUUCAUUCCUGAAAGAUUUACAGAUGAAGGCAGCAGUAUGCAUGUCAACUUCAAGGGGAAUGAUUUCCAGUUCUUGCUGUUCGGAGCAAGACGGAGGAUGUGCCCUGGUAUGAACCUUGGGAUCACGAAUGUAGAGCUUAUGUUGGCAAACCUUUUGUGCCAUUUUGACUGGCAACUUCGGCUUGGGGCUGAGAGAAAAGACAUUGAUAUGACAGAGGUGUUUGGGCUAACUGUCCGUACGAAGGAGAAACUAUUGUUGAUUCCAAGAUCACGGAUGUAG
rnacentral:rRNA from 1 species